rnacentral:rRNA from 1 species
UACGUAGGGUGCAAGCGUUAUCCGGAAUUAUUGGGCGCAAAGAGCUCGUAGGCGGUUUGUCGCGUCUGCUGUGAAAACUGGAGGCUCAACCUCCAGCCUGCAGUGGGUACGGGCAAACUAGAGUGCGGUAGGGGAGAUUGGAAUUCCUGGUGUAGCGGUGGAAUGCGCAGAUAUCAGGAGGAACACCGAUGGCGAAGGCAGCUCGCUGGGACGGUACUGACGCUGAGGCGCGAAAGCGUGGGGAGCGAACAGG